UACGGGGGGGGCAAGCGUUGUUCGGAAUUACUGGGCGUAAAGGGCUCGUAGGCGGCCAACUAAGUCAGACGUGAAGUCCCUCGGCUUAACCUGGGAACUGCGCUUGUAACUGGCAAGCUUGAGUGUGGCAGAGGGGGGUGGAAUUCCACGUGUAGCAGUGAAAUGCGUAGAGAUGCGGAGGAACACCGAUGGCGAAGGCAGCCCCCUGGGCUAGCACUGACGCUCAGGCACGAAAGCGUGAGGAGCAAACAGG
rnacentral:rRNA from 1 species